UACAUGUUGGGUAGGGGAGCGUUGUAUACGCGGAGAAACAGUAGCGUAAGCGGCUGUGGAGUGUAUAGAAGUGAGAAUGCCGGAAUGAGUAGCGCGAAUGCAGUGAGAAUCUGCAUGGCCGAAAGCCUCAGGUUUCUGGAGGAAGGUUCGUCUGCUCCAGGUUAGUCGGGAGCUAAGGUGAGGCCGAAGGGCGUAGCCGAUGCACAGACGGUAGAGAUUCCGUCACCACCAAAAGAGUUAAGCACAGGGACACAUUUGAAGUCUCGGAGCCGGGUGUUGGUUCCGGUAGCGAUCGAGGGAAGUUAGUACCGAAGUCUGAGAUGGAAGAUGGCGAGAAAAGUUGUGUGUAUUUCUGCGGUGCCCGUACCGCAGACCGACAUAGGUAGGUAGGAAGAAGAUUCUAAGGCCAACGGGAGAAGGGUUGUUAAGGAACUCGGCAAAUUGACCCCGUAACUUCGGGAGAAGGGGUGCUCCAGAGAUGGAGCCGCAGAGAAUCGGCCCAAGCAACUGUUUUACCAAAAACACAGGUUUGUGCUAAAUCGAAAGAUGACGUAUACGAGCUGACGCCUGCCCGGUGCUGGAAGGUUAAGAGGAGAUGUGCAAGCAUUGAAUCGAAGCCCCAGUGAACGGCGGCCGUAACAAUAACGGUCCUAAGGUAGCGAAAUUCCUUGUCAGGUAAGUUCUGACCCGCAUGAAAGGCGUAAUGAUUUGGGCACUGUCUCAACAGCCCGCCCGGCGAAAUUGUAGUACCGGUGAAGAUGCCGGUUACCCGCGACAAGACGGAAAGACCCCAUGGAGCUUUACUGUAGCCUAAUAUUGGGUUUCGAUGUUGCAUGCACAGGAUAGAUGGGACACUGGGAAGCAAGAGCUUUGGCUUUUGUGGAGUGGCCGUUGGGAUACCAUCCUUGCGAUAUUGGAAUUCUAACCUGCGGCCCUGAAUCGGGUCGGGGGACAUUGUUAGGUGGGCAGUUUGACUGGGGCGGUCGCCUCCUAAAAAGUAACGGAGGCGUUCAAAGGUUCGCUCAGCUUGAACGGAAAUCAAGCAAAAGAGUGCAAACGCAGAAGCGAGCCUAACUGCGAGACUGACGGGUCGAGCAGUAACGAAAGUUGGAGUUAGUGAUCCGGUGGUAUGUGAGUGGAAAUGCCAUCGCUCAACGGAUAAAAGUUACCCUGGGGAUAACAGGCUGAUCUCCCCCAAGAGUCCACAUCGACGGGGAGGUUUGGCACCUCGAUGUCGGCUCAUCGCAUCCUGGGGCUGUAUUCGGUCCCAAGGGUUUGGCUGUUCGCCAAUUAAAGCGGUACGCGAGCUGGGUUCAGAACGUCGUGAGACAGUUCGGUCCCUAUCUGUCGUGGGCGCAGGAUAUUUGAUGGGAGCUGUCCCUAGUACGAGAGGACCGGGACGGACGUACCUCUGGCGCACCAGUUGUUCCGCCAGGAGCAUAGCUGGGCAACUACGUACGGAUCGGAUAUACGCUGAAAGCAUCUAAGCGUGAAGCCGACCCAAAGAUAAGAUAUCCCACUGAUUUGAUCAGGUAAGAUCCCUUGUAGACUACGAGGUUGAUAGGCACGAUGUGUAAGUGGAGCGAUCCAUUCAGCAAGUGUGUACUAAUAGAUCGAGGGCUUGACC
rnacentral:rRNA from 1 species